UUGGAGAAGAAGGCUCUGUGGAGACCUCAUUGUGGCCUUCCAGUACUUGAAGGGAACAUAUAAACAGGAGGGGAAAUGGCUGUUUAUGAGUGGAAUGGUUUUAAACUGAGAUAGGGGAGGUUUAGGUUGGAUAAUAGGAGGAAGUUUUUCACCCAGAGGGUGGUGAGGCACUGGAACAGGUUGCCCAAGGAGGCUGUGGAUGCCCCAUCCCUGGAGGCAUUCAAGGCCAGGCUGGAUGUGGCUCUGGGCAGCCUGGUCUGGUGGCUGGAGACCCUGCACAUGGCAGGGGGGUUAAACUGGAUGAUCAUUGUGGUCCUUUUUAACCCAGGGUGUUCUAUGAUUCUAAUUCAGUCGAUGUUUUAUUUCCUCUCAAGCCAUACCAUAGAAGUAAUCAAGUGCAAGAAGAACCAAAGAAAUCAAGAUGAAAUUACAGCCACCUACUGGGAGUUUAUUCCAUAAAAUCCAUGCAACAAUACUUGAGGACAAUUACAGUCUGCAUUUGAAAUGCAGAUCAGAUUUCUACAUGAUCUGGAUUCAGAAGGCAGAUGUGCAGGAACCCAGACAUGAAUACAUUUAUGGUAAAUGUUCUCCAGAUUCAAGGGAGUGAAGUAUCUGAAGAGAGGUGUUGAUGUCUGAAACAGUAUAACUCUUUGUAUGGGAACUGCUGAAUCACAGCCUGAACCUCUGAUUGAUCACCUGAGUUGAGCAAUGAGUCAGCCCGGGGAGCACAGGUGAAGGCAAUUCACCUGUGCUGCUGGAAGGGGUGGAGCCUGGCUGCACCUCUCCUAGACCCAUUUAAGAGCUGACUACCAGUGGGGAAGGAUUUCUUCUGGAGAUUCCUCCUUUGGAAUUUUACAGUGAGCCUGGGACAAGGGUAAGCACUCUAUCUAUUCUUUCUUUGAUGUAAUAACCUGCUUAGCCAAACUCUCUGGUAUAUUUCAUAA
rnacentral:lncRNA from 1 species